GAUGAACGCUGGCGGCGUGCCUAAUACAUGCAAGUCGAGCGAACAGACGAGGAGCUUGCUCCUCUGACGUUAGCGGCGGACGGGUGAGUAACACGUGGAUAACCUACCUAUAAGACUGGGAUAACUUCGGGAAACCGGAGCUAAUACCGGAUAAUAUAUUGAACCGCAUGGUCCAAUAGUGAAAGACGGUUUUGCUGUCACUUAUAGAUGGAUCCGCGCCGCAUUAGCUAGUUGGUAAGGUAACGGCUUACCAAGGCGACGAUGCGUAGCCGACCUGAGAGGGUGAUCGGCCACACUGGAACUGAGACACGGUCCAGACUCCUACGGGAGGCAGCAGUAGGGAAUCUUCCGCAAAGGGCGAAAGCCUGACGGAGCAACGCCGCGUGAGUGAUGAAGGUCUUCGGAUCGUAAAACUCUGUUAUUAGGGAAGAACAAAUGUGUAAGUAACUAUGCACGUCUUGACGGUACCUAAUCAGAAAGCCACGGCUAACUACGUG
rnacentral:rRNA from 1 species